GUGGGUCUUCAGAUUUCCCUUCUGAGAGGCACUGUAGGGGCAGUAUCUGCACUGGAAAGGCCGGUGACCUGUACAACAGACAAACAGCGGUUAGAGUUCCUAAUACAUCCUUGGUGCUGAGCACACAAAGGCUACAGAAAGAAGGGACCCCUGCAGACUCCGAAUAACAGUGACCUCAACUGUUCAAACUUGUUAAGGUUGUGAGCUCCCUCAUGUGGCUAUAUAAGGAUUUCCAGCUGUUGAAAAAAUAAUUUGAAGAACUUUCCAUUGUAUGAAUUUCAAAGGAACACCUACACUAAAAAUGCCUUUCUGGGGAUAAAAAAUAAUGUAUACAAGUCUUUCAUAAAGCAGUCUUUUGUUUCGUCCCUGGUUUUACUUUUCUAAUGCUCAGCAAUUUCCAUCAUAAUGGCAAAUGUAUGGGAAAUCCCAUGUAUGGAAAGAUGCAAAAGAGAAAGGCAGUAAUUUGGCAUGACUCUGAGCUCAAGAGGGUGGAUGAGGGCAUUCAGUUACAUGGAAAGACAGGCACACAAUGGAAGCGGGUAUAUUCAUGGGGUAAAUGCACUUAUGUAUUUCCUAGGAUUCACUGCAGCUCUACUUAAAUACUGCUUAAUUUGCAGAAAAGUCUCAUAAUAACAAAGCAAUAGAAAUGAGAGACAGAAAGAGAUGGGAAGAAGAGGAGAGAAAGUAGUACUUCUGAUGCCGAUUUCUAGGAAGGCAAUAGAGAUGACAAACCAAGUAGUUAAGAAGUUCCUUUACAGAAGCAGUAGGACAUUGCUGUCAGCUAUGGCAUGUCCACUUCAGGCUCAAGGCUGCAAAAUAAAUAUUGAGCAUUCUGUGCCAUUACACAUAGAUCUCUUGUGUAUUGCACGUUGGUUAUGCAUGUGCAUUUUUACACAAUGAUACAACUUAACCUAAGGGCAAUAUAGCAAAAUACCCAACACAAAACUAGGAUCUUUGCCAAAGUUCAGCAGUGCUUCUCACUUUUAUACCAAGGGUCAGACUACACUAUGUAACAAACUUUGAAAACAAUUCUGAUCCUGAAUUGAAAGUGUUAUUCCUGUUUAACUGUGCAGUACGUACUUUAAAAGUACAGUAGAGUCUCACUUAUCCAACAUAAACGGGCCGGCAGAACGUUGGAUAAGCGAAUACGUUGGAUAACAAGGAGAGAUUAAGGAGAAGCGUAUUAAACAUCAAAUUAGAUUAGGGUUUUACAAAUUAAGCACCAAAACAUCAUGUUAUACAACCAAUUUGACAGAAAAAGUAAUUCAAUACGCAGUAAUGCUACAUAGUAAUUACUGUAUUUACAAAUUUAGCACCAAAAUAUCACAAUGUAUUGAAAACAUUGACUACAAAAAUGCGUUGGAUAAUCCAGAACGUUGGAUAAGCGAAUGUUGGAUAAGUAAGACUCUACUGUAGUUCUAAUACUCCGUAAACUUGGUUUUUGUGGCUGCCACAAACUAGGUUGAAUUGGUUGAGACUCAAUGAGUCAUGAAUGAAAAAACUAUAGCAAAAGUGCUAAAGCAGGAUGUCUCUCCCGCAAAGAGAACAUUUUUGAAGUUUAAUAAACUUAUUCCAUGUUUUUAUGAUAGAAUCAAUUAGGAAAUUACAUUUAUAACCCAGGGACAAAAAUCAUGUUUCACAGUGUUAUGAGAGGAACUGAUCUUCAAGUUGGGUGGGCACCUGAUGCAAGCUCCAACAAGUCAAGUUGUCUGGAAUAAAUUUACCGU